GACGAACGCUGGCGGCGUGCUUAACACAUGCAAGUCGAACGGAAAGGCCCUGCUUUUGUGGGGUGCUCGAGUGGCGAACGGGUGAGUAACACGUGAGUAACCUGCCCUUGACUUUGGGAUAACUUCAGGAAACUGGGGCUAAUACCGGAUAGGAGCUCCUGCUGCAUGGUGGGGGUUGGAAAGUUUCGGCGGUUGGGGAUGGACUCGCGGCUUAUCAGCUUGUUGGUGGGGUAGUGGCUUACCAAGGCUUUGACGGGUAGCCGGCCUGAGAGGGUGACCGGCCCCAUGGGGACUGGGUUCCGGCCCAGCCCCCUCCGGAGGGCAGCAGUGGGGAUAUUGCACAAUGGGCGGAAGCCUGAUGCAGCAACGCCGCGUGCGGGAUGACGGCCUUCGGGUUGUAAACCGCUUUCGCCUGUGACGAAGCGUGAGUGACGGUAAUGGGUAAAGAAGCACCGGCUAACUACGUG
rnacentral:rRNA from 1 species